GAUGAACGCUGGCGGCGUGCAUAACACAUUCAAGUCGAACGGAGUAAUUCCUUCGGGGAUUGCUUAGUGGCGGACGGGUGAGUAACGCGUGAGCAACCUGCCCUUGUGUGGGGGACAACAGUUGGAAACGACUGCUAAUACCGCAUAAUGCAUCUCGAUCGCAUGUUCGAGAUGCCAAAGAUUUAUUGCGCAAGGAUGGGCUCGCAUUGGAUUAGAUAGUUGGUGAGGUAACGGCUUACCAAGUCGACGAUCCAUAGCCGGACUGAGAGGUUGAACGGCCACAUUGGAACUGAGAAACGGUCCAGACUCCUACGGGAGGCAGCAGUGGGGAAUAUUGGGCAAUGGGCGAAAGCCUGACCCAGCGACGCCGCGUGCGGGAAGACGGUCUUCGGAUUGUAAACCGCUUUUAUUAGGGACGAUAAUGACGGUACCUAAUGAAUAAGCCACGGCUAACUACGUGCCAGCAGCCGCCGCAGUAA
rnacentral:rRNA from 1 species